rnacentral:rRNA from 1 species
GUGGGGAGUAUUGCACAAUGGGCGAAAGCCUGAUGCAGCAACGCCGCGUGAGUGAUGACGGCCUUCGGGUUGUAAAGCUCUGUCUUUGGGGACGAUAAUGACGGUACCCAAGGAGGAAGCCACGGCUAACUACGUGCCAGCAGCCGCGGUAAUACGUAGGUGGCAAGCGUUGUCCGGAUUUACUGGGCGUAAAGGGUGCGUAGGCGGACCUUUAAGUGAGAUGUGAAAUCCCCGAGCUUAACUUGGGGGCUGCAUUUCAAACUGGAGGUCUAUAGUGCAGGAGAGGAGAGUGGAAUUCCUAGUGUAGCGGUGAAAGGCGUAGAGAUUAGGAAGAACGCCAGUGGCGAAGGCGACUCGCUGGACUGUAACUGACGCUGAGGCACGAAAGCGUGGGGAGCAAACAG